UCUUGUAGUUAAUUAAGGAACAUUAGAAGAACUCCAGAUACCAUUAAAUUAUGAAAUUUUGGAGCAUUGGUUGUAUUAGUCCUCAUUUGCCCUGGAAAGUAGCUGUGCCCAUAGUUCUAAAGAAAGCAUGAAAGUGCCUUUUUUUCAUUGGAAUGAAGACAGUUUGCUGAAAAAGGAUUUAUGACAAUGAACUGAUUGUCCCACAAAUGAGAAGGAAUUGCAGUUAAUUUUGGU